UGUUAAAAUAUUAUAGCAAAGGUCGUCCUACUCCAAUCUUAACUACCUGGGCCUUCCUGUGUAUACUUAACAUCCACUGUAUGGGCAUUUUAAACAUGUGGGAACUAUCCACAUGUGAACAUUCAUUCACUCAUUAUCAAACAGAACAGUGAACUACUUAGUUAGUUAAAUAUGUUUUAAAAUUAUUUGUUUUUGGUUAUAACCUACAAUAUUUCAGAAUUAUGUAAGCCAUCAUUCACACUGGACGACAUGUCCAGAAACCUCUACUUUUAUGGCUUUUUUCGGCUAAUGUUUUAACUUUUCUACAUCGAUGUUAAAAUUUACUGAAUAAAGUCCUGUGCUAAAGUG